rnacentral:rRNA from 1 species
CGAACGCUGGCGGCGUGCUUAACACAUGCAAGUCGAACGGUGAAGCGCCCUCCUUUUUUGGGGGGGUGGGUGGGUGGCGAACGGGGGAGUAACACGGGAGUAAACUUCCCCCCUCUUCUGGGUAACCCCAUGAAGGGGUGGCUAAUACGGGAGAUUCUGGGUCUGUUGCAUGGUGGGUCUGGGGAAGAUAUUGUUUUGGUGGGGGAUGGGGUCGCGGCCUAUCAGCUUGUUGGUGGGGUGAUGGCCUACCAAGGCGGUGACGGGUAGCCGGCCUGAGAGGGUGGACGGUCACACUGGGACUGAGACACGGCCCAGACUCCUACGGGAGGCAGCAGUGGGGAAUAUUGCACAAUGGGCGCAAGCCUGAUGCAGCGACGCCGCGUGAGGGAUGGAGGCCUUCGGGUUGUGAACCUCUUUCGCCAGUGAAGCAGGCCUGCCUCGUUUGUGGGUGGGUUGACGGUAGCUGGAGAAGAAGCGCCGGCUAACUACGUG